AUGGCGUCGUCGAGCUUCAAGGUGACGCGGAUCUCGGAGGGCGCGGUGAAGCCGGCGUCGGAGACCCCCGACCACACGCUGCCGCUGGCGUGGGUGGACCGGUACCCGACCCACCGUGGCCUGGUGGAGUCGAUGCACAUCUUCCGGUCCGGCGCCGACGCGGCCCCCGCCGUGAUCCGCGAGGCGCUGGGCAAGGCGCUGGCCUUCUUCUACCCGCUGGCCGGGCGCAUCGUGGAGCAGCCGGAGAAGGGGUGCCCCGCCAUCCGCUGCACCGCCGACGGCGUCUACUUCGCGGAGGCCGUGGCGGAGUGCAGCCUGGAGGACGUGCGGUUCCUGGAGCGCCCCCUGCUGCUCCCCAAGGAGGACCUCGUCCCCUACCCCGCCGACGAUCUCUGGGGCGUCGAACCCCACAACACCAUCAUGAUGAUGCAGAUCACGAAGUUCACCUGCGGCGGGUUCGUGAUGGGCCUGCGGUUCAACCACGCGUCGGCGGACGGCAUGGGCGCGGCGCAGUUCAUCAAGGCCGUGGGCGACAUGGCGCGGGGGCUCCCGGAGCCGGCGGUGAAGCCGGUGUGGGACAGGGAGAAGUUCCCCAACCCGAGCAUCAAGCCGGGGCCGCUCCCGGAGCUCCCCGUGCUGGCGCUGGACUACAUCGUGCUCGACUUCCCCACGGGCUACAUCGACGCGCUCAAAACGCAGUACAAGGCGCACAGCGGCAAGUUCUGCUCCGGCUUCGACGUGCUGACGGCCAAGCUGUGGCAGUGCCGCACCCGGGCGCUGAACCUGGAGCCCGAGGCGACGGUGAAGCUCUGCUUCUUCGCCAGCGUGCGCCACCUGCUGAAGCUGGACGCGGGGUACUACGGCAACUCCAUCUUCCCCGUGAAGAUGUCCGGGAGCAGCAAGAAGGUGCUGGAGUCGUCGGUGAUGGAGGUGAUCGACAUGAUCCGGGAGGCGAAGCAGCGGAUGGCGGUGGAGUUCUUCCAGUUCGCCAAGGAGGAGACGCGGCAGGACCCCUUCCAGAUGAGCUUCGACUACGAGUCCAUCUACGUCUCCGACUGGAGCAAGCUGGGGUUCUCCGACGUGGACUACGGCUUCGGCCCGCCCAUGUUCGCCGGCCCGCUCGUGAACAACGACUUCAUCGCCUCCGUCGUCAUCCUCAAGGCGCCGCUGCCGCUGGACGGCGCCAGGAUGCUCGCCAGCUGCGUCACCAAGGAGCACUCCCAGGAGUUCGCCCGCGGCAUGAAGGAGGACCUGCCCUGA
rnacentral:rRNA from 1 species